rnacentral:rRNA from 1 species
AGCGUGCGUAGGCGGCUUUUUAAGUUCGGAUGUGAAAUACCCCGAGCUUAACUUGGGAAUUGCAUUCGAUACUGGGAAGCUAGAGUAUGGGAGAGGAUGGUAGAAUUCCAGGUGUAGCGGUGAAAUGCGUAGAGAUCUGGAGGAAUACCGAUGGCGAAGGCAGCCAUCUGGCCUAAUACUGACGCUGAGGUACGAAAGCAUGGGGAGCAAACAGGAUUAGAUACCCUGGU